AUCAGAUGUCAAAAACUUUAUAUUUUUACAUUAAAAAAUCCGAAUGUACUUAAAUAUAUUUGUUACUCUUAAGAAUACAUUUCAGUUUAACUCGCAUGACGGAGCGGGUACAAGUGUAGCACCGCAAAGAGCGACUGCAAAGCUAGCACAUUGUUUAAAAUGCCCAACUCAGUUGAUGUCUAGUUUUAGUAUAUAGUUUAGUUUAGUUUGUGUAUGGAGUUUUGGGAUUUUGUUUAACAGCCGUCAGACUGCAAAACUUGUGUUUGGUCGGCGCUGCCGCAGUCCAGACGUCAGUCGUUGCCGUUGUUGGCGCAAUAAGUUGCGCAGGAACCAGUGAUUUUGAUAUAAUUCAUUUGUAUUAUCUAUUAAAGAAGAAGUGGGUCCAACGUGAAUGGACUUAGAGAGCACAGAAAGAACUUAUUAAGACUCAUAAAUAAAUUCAAAUAUAUCUUUACUUUAAA
ensembl:ncRNA lncRNA:CR41257 long non-coding RNA:CR41257